rnacentral:rRNA from 1 species
CCUACGGGCUGCACCAGUGGGGAAUAUUGCACAAUGGGCGCAAGCCUGAUGCAGCCAUGCCGCGUGUAUGAAGAAGGCCUUCGGGUUGUAAAGUACUUUCAGCGGGGAGGAAGGUGUUGCGGUUAAUAACCACAGCAAUUGACGUUACCCGCAGAAGAAGCACCGGCUAACUCCGUGCCAGCAGCCGCGGUAAUACGGAGGGUGCAAGCGUUAAUCGGAAUUACUGGGCGUAAAGCGCACGCAGGCGGUCUGUCAAGUCGGAUGUGAAAUCCCCGGGCUCAACCUGGGAACUGCAUUCGAAACUGGCAGGCUAGAGUCUUGUAGGGAGGGGUAGAAUUCCAGGUGUAGCGGUGAAAUGCGUAGAGAUCUGGAGGAAUACCGGUGGCGAAGGCGGCCCCCUGGACAAAGACUGACGCUCAGGUGCGAAAGCGUGGGGAGCAAACAGGAUUAGAUACCCCAGUAGUC